AACAACUCUCGGCAACGGAUAUCUCGGCUCUCGCAUCGAUGAAGAACGCAGCGAAAUGCGAUACUUGGUGUGAAUUGCAGAAUCCCGUGAACCAUCGAGUCUUUGAACGCAAGUUGCGCCCCAAGCCUUCUGGCCGAGGGCACGUCUGCCUGGGUGUCACGCA
rnacentral:rRNA from 1 species